GGCGCGGUGGCGGAAUCAGUAGACGCGCAGGUCCCAAAAACCUGCGGAGUUUAACCUUCAUGUGGGUUCGAAUCCCCCCCAGGGUCA
rnacentral:tRNA from 1 species